rnacentral:rRNA from 1 species
UACAGAGGGUGCGAGCGUUAAUCGGAGUUACUGGGCGUAAAGGGCGCGUAGGCGGUUAUAUAAGUGAGAUGUGAAAUCCCUGGGCUUAACCUAGGAACUGCAUCUCAUACUGUAUGACUGGAGUAUUGUAGAGGGUAGUGGAAUUUCCGGUGUAGCGGUGAAAUGCGUAGAGAUCGGAAGGACACCAGUGGCGAAGGCGGCUACCUGGACAAAUACGUGAACGC